rnacentral:lncRNA from 1 species
UUAUUAUAAACUCUUGUAAAACAUUCAUCAAUUUUAAGAAUUUUAUGAGAUAAAACUUUUAUUGUGUUCAUAAUAACAUCUAACUUGGACUUCAGAGACUUAACCAUGUUAACAUCUUUACCUCCAAUUAUCCUAAAAGUUAAAAGGAGAAUUUCCAAAUAAUAUCAAUUCAAAAGAGAAUAAUUUGCAAUCUCUUAAGUACUUAGAUGCCUUCAAAAAGAGGGAUAAUCAACUUUCUAUGAAGAAAGAUCAAGCUUUAGUAUUAAUAAGAAGACAAACUUGA